rnacentral:rRNA from 1 species
UACGUAGGUGGCAAGCGUUAUCCGGAUUUAUUGGGCGUAAAGGGAACGCAGGCGGUCUUUUAAGUCUGAUGUGAAAGCCUUCGGCUUAACCGGAGUAGUGCAUUGGAAACUGGUUGACUUGAGUGCAGAAGAGGGAAGUGGAAUUCCGUGUGUAGCGGUGAAAUGCGUAGAGAUAUGGAGGAACACCAGUGGCGAAGGCGGCUUCCUGGUCUGCAACUGACACUGAGGCGCGAAAGCGUGGGGAGCAAACAGG